CACCUCAGUCCAGUAGGGCCCUUUAGUAGGGUUGCCAGUCCUAGGUUGGUGGCGAGGGUCGCCGUUCCUAGGAGGCCACAAAAGCGGACUAAGACUAUGGUGGAGUGGGGUCCACGUCCAGCACCCGAGCCGCCGCCGUGAAAGAGGCCCACCCGGACCCUCCCCUUUAGAUUAGGUUUUUGCGGCCAGAGUCUGCACCUUUGUGGGAGGGUACUGUUACGCCCUGACCUUAGUAUUCUUUGUUUUCUUUAUUAUUUUGGUUAGGUCAGGGUGUGACAUGGGUGAUAUGUGUGUUUUUGUCUCAUUCUAUGGUGUUUGUACUGUCUAGGGUUUUUUGUAGAUUUAUGGGGUUAUUUUCAUCUAGGUGUUUAUCGUUGUCUCUGAUUGGGAACCAUAUUUAGGCAGCCAUCUUCUUUGGGUAUUUCGUGGGUUAUUGUCUAUGUUAUGUUGCACAUUGGCACAUUGUUUAUAUAGCGGUCACGUUCGUCUUAUUUGUUUUGUUGUUUUUGUUUAAGUGUUCUUCGUGUUCUUCAUUAAAUAAAGAGGAAUGUAUUCUAA